GUCUCGGGCACGGCGCGGUGGAGCGGCGGUGGCGCCGGCUGAGGCCCCAGCCAGGGCCGGGGUGCGGGCAAGCAGCGCCACGACCGGGCUGCCGUGCAGAGGGGAAAACCAGGGCCGGAACCGUACUGCCUGGGGCAGUUCUAAGGGAAACCAGAAAAUUCCCAGUGGAAGUUUCUAUCAAGCUGCAACACAAAGGUUCUGCUUGGGCAUCGAGGUGAACUGAAACUGGUGAAAAUAAACAAAUGUGAUGCGUUUUUGUGGAAGCAAAGAGUCAGAUCAAGGGCUCUUCCCAUAUGAAGCGAGUUUAAAAGACUACGCGUGAGUGAGUUCAAGCCCAAACAUGAUAAAAUUGACCACAAUUCUCUUGUGAAUCCUCAACAGAUCCUGGGACAUGAAUGUCUGUUCUCUGCAAUUGUUAAUCCAGCCAGUAAGGGAAAUUGCUAUUCUGAUCUGUUCCCAGAUGUGGUCAUGUGUUUCAGAUCGUGUGUUUCCGGCACGUGAGAACAUGCACAGAUUUUCCAGGGCUUUAAAUCGGAGCCCAUGGAACAGGCUGAGCUGCAAGCAAAGAGAAAACGCUGGUUACAUAUGUUCAGCUGGGGAGGAUGCUAUUAAACAACAAGUGAAAGGUGGAGAAGUCUUUCAGACAAUGUUCCCUGAAGAGUUGUGGUCAUUUUUCCUGCUGAGGUGAAGAGACACUUCUGCACAGCCUAUCCCAGCUCCUAUUUGGUGCUCAGUACCCUUCUUUUUACCAAUGCAUCAUCUUCAAUGCAGGAGAAAAAAAGAAAAGUUGAAGAAAUGAAUGGGCAAAGCAUUUAAUUAAAGAGAUUACAUCUGUAUCUGGACAUAUCUCAUGGAAAUCUGGAUUAACCUUCAGCAAAUGAGAGUGGAAACUUUAAUUUUGUUCCAAGACUAAUGAAAAUGUUCUGGAUAGAAAUGUGUAU